rnacentral:tRNA from 2 species
GGGGUUAUAGCUCAGCUGGUCAGAGCGCUACGUUGACAUCGUAGAGGCCACAGGUUCAAGUCCUGUUAACCCCACCA